rnacentral:rRNA from 1 species
CGGGCGGCCCGUACCCUAAACCGACUCAGGUGGUCAGGUAGAGAAUACCAAGGCGAUCGGGUGAACUGUGGUUAAGGAACUCGGCAAAUUGCCCCCGUAACUUCGGGAGAAGGGGGACCUCUGCUGGUGAUGGGCUUUACGUUCUGAGCUGGUGGGGGUCGCAGUGGCCAGGGGGAAGCGACUGUUUACUAAAAACACAGGUCCGUGCGAAGUCGUAAGACGAUGUAUACGGACUGACGCCUGCCCGGUGCCGGAACGUUAAGGGGACCGCUUAGCCAACGCGAGUUGGCGAAGGUGAGAACUUAAGCGCCGGUAAACGGCGGUGGUAACUAUAACCAUCCUAAGGUAGCGAAAUUCCUUGUCGGGUAAGUUCCGACCUGCACGAAUGGCGUAACGACUUCCCCGCUGUCUCAACCACAGACCCGGCGAAAUUGCACUACGAGUAAAGAUGCUCGUUUCGCGCAGCAGGACGGAAAGACCCCGGGACCUUCACUACAGCUUGACAUUGGCGUUUGGAACGUCUUGUGUAGGAUAGGUGGGAGACUGGGAAGCUGUCACGCUAGUGAUGGUGGAGUCAUUGGUGAAAUACCACUCUGGUCGUUUUGAACGUCUAACUCUGGUCCGUGAUCCGGAUCGGGGACAGUGUCUGGUGGGUAGUUUAACUGGGGCGGUUGCCUCCUAAAGAGUAACGGAGGCGCCCAAAGGUUCCCUCAGCCUGGUUGGCAAUCAGGUGUUGAGUGUAAGUGCACAAGGGAGCUUGACUGUGAGACUGACAGGUCGAGCAGGAGCGAAAGCUGGGACUAGUGAUCCGGCAUCGGCGUGUGGAAGCGGUGUCGCUCAACGGCUAAAAGGUACCCCGGGGAUAACAGGCUGAUCUUCCCCAAGAGUCCAUAUCGACGGGAUGGUUUGGCACCUCGAUGUCGGCUCGUCGCAUCCUGGGGCUGGAGUAGUCCCAAGGGUUGGGCUGUUCGCCCAUUAAAGCGGUACGCGAGCUGGGUUUAGAACGUCGCGAGACAGUUCGGUCCCUAUCCGCUGCGCGCGCAGGAGACUUGAAGGGGGCUGUCCCUAGUACGAGAGGACCGGGACGGACGAACCUCUGGUGUGUCAGUUGUACCGCCAGGUGCACGGCUGGUUGGCUACGUUCGGAAGGGAUAACCGCUGAAAGCAUCUAAGCGGGAAGCUCGCCUUGAGAUGAGGUCUCCCACCCCGUGAGGGGGUAAGGCUCCCGGUAGAUCACCGGGUUGAUAGGCCGGAGGUGGAAGCACGGUAACGUGUGGAGCUGACCGGUACUAAUAGGCCGAGGACUUGACCG